rnacentral:lncRNA from 1 species
UGAGCACAAAAAACAAUCUCACGUGGAAAAAAAAGGUCUCAUGGGUUAGGGUGGGAUUUGAGAUAGGGAUACAUCUCACUAAAAAGUCUCACACAAUUUCUCAUUUGAAAAAAUCCUUCGAAAUUAACAAGUUUUUGAAUACCAUAAGACUUUUUGUUACUUGUUUAAAGUCUUGAUUGAAUACCACAAGAUUUUGACACUCUCUUUAAAAAAUCCUAAUAGUCUUAACGGAAUACCACAAGACUUGUUUAGAUUAUUUAAAAGUCUUAAUUGAAUACCACAAGACUUAUUUAUCCCAAAAUAAUCUUUUAAAAUCUCUAUUGAAUAUACC